AUAGAACAAGGGAAUGAAGUUCUCCCUAAGUAGUUAGAUACUUAAACCGCUUAUAAAAGCUGAUGACUUCUGCGAUAUU
rfam:Roseburia sp. CAG:309 genomic scaffold, scf388